UACAGAGGGGGCAAGCGUUGUUCGGAAUUACUGGGCGUAAAGGGCGCGUAGGCGGCCUUCUAAGUCGAACGUGAAAUCCCCGGGCUCAACCCGGGAACUGCGUCCGAUACUGGAAGGCUUGAAUCCGGGAGAGGGAUGCGGAAUUCCAGGUGUAGCGGUGAAGUGCGUAGAUAUCUGGAGGAACACCGGUGGCGAAGGCGGCAUCCUGGACCGGCAUUGACGCUGAGGCGCGAAAGCCAGGGGAGAAAACGGG
rnacentral:rRNA from 1 species